ensembl:lncRNA ABCA9-AS1 ABCA9 antisense RNA 1
GGGAGGAGUUAAAGCAAAAAUCAGCAGCUAAUGAGGGGCAAUCUGUAAACCACCAACCACCCCUUCCCCCAACCUUUACUCCUGUUCCAAGUGAAUUUCUGCUGCUAAGUUAUGGGUAGAAGCAAAAAACCACUUUGUGGAGGGAGAGGAAGGAAACCACGUCGCUCUAUGAUAAAAGCCUUGCACCUGGUAAAAAGCAACAGCCUGCUACCACUGCAGGUGGGGCAGGAAGCUUCCAGUUCCCAUUCCCAAGCAAAGAUAAUUUGCAGCUGAGAUUUGCAACAAGGACCCAGCACGGAUACAAAGCAGAGACAGGCUCUCACCACGGCGGGGGAGAGGACGCUCUCACAGGUCCAGAACCUCUCAACAGAUACAAGUCACCAAUGCUGCUCAUUGCAAUGUAUGGAGUGAAAGAGGCUGCCAUCGGUAUCCAGAAGAAGGUGUU